AGUGAACAUCCCCCUGUCAGACUGUACCAUUGGGCUGUGGGGGUUCAGGUUAGUUCCAGACUAGUGAACAUCCCCCUGUCAGACUGUACCAUUGGGCUGUGGGGGUUCAGGUUAGUUCCAGACUAGUGAACAUCCCCCUGUCAGACUGUACCAUUGGGCUGUAGGGGUCCAGGUUAGUUCCAGACUAGUGAACAUCCCCCCUGUCAGACUGUACCAUUGGGCUGUAGGGGUCCAGGUUAGUUCCAGACUAGAGAACAUCCCCCUGUCAGACUGUACCAUUGGGCUGUAGGGGUCCAGGUUAGUUCCAGACUAGAGAACAUCCCCCUGUCAGACUGUACCAUUGGGCUGUAGGGGUCCAGGUUAGUUCCAGACUAGAGAACAUCCCCCUGUCAGACUGUACCAUUGGGCUGUAGGGGUCCAGGUUAGUUCCAGACUAGAGAACAUCCCCCUGUCAGACUGUACCAUUGGGCUGUAGGGGUCCAGGUUAGUUCCAGACUAGUGAACAUCCCCCUGUCAGACUGUACCAUUGGGCUGUAGGGGUCCAGGUUAGUUCCAGACUAGAGAACAUCCCCCUGUCAGACUGUACCAUUGGGCUGUAGGGGUCCAGGUUAGUUCCAGACUAGAGAACAUCCCCCUGUCAGACUGUACCAUUGGGCUGUGGGGGUUCAGGUUAGUUCCAGACAGUCACAGUAUAGUUGUGCAUGUGACUACAUGACAUUGCUAUAUUCACCUAGCUACUGUCCACACGCACUAGGCUUGAGCAGUAUACAGAUUUUCAUAUCAUACCAUUCUGAAUUCCCAAGAUGUAUGGUAUUACCGGCAUAGCACACAAGGGGGAACUAAAAACUAAAAAGAAGAUCCCACAAUUCCCGUACAACGGCGUUACCGACGAUUACGGAUGAAGACCGUCAUGAAAAUAAAAUAAUUGUGGAACGAACAGCUGACUGAAGACGGGACGGCCGGGCAUUCACGCAGUCGAGUCGGUUUCUACGGUAACGUGACCUCUACAACACGAUGAUGAAGCUCCUGACCUAAACAAGCAAAGUGUAAUAAACGAGUCUUCGAUUGACUAGGCAACCCCCCCCCCCUUCCCUACAGCACAUGCGCACAUAUCUCAC